CUCCAAGCGGCUGGGGACUUGCCUGCGUGUCAGCUUCUCUCUCUGAGAGCUAGAAAACGAUGUCCUGCAAGAAGAAAUCAACAACUCCUGCCAAGCCAGCUAUUUCCUUGGGAGUCAUCAGAUAAAGUGUGUGAUCGAUUGCAUGCUUCAGACUUUUGCUGCCAGAGGAGGUUCUGGAGCUCAGUGUGUAGCUGGACUGACAUCAAAACCACAACAAAAACUUCUUGCCUCUCAAGUACGAAGAUUGAAUGUAUGAUCAUAACAUAACAUAACAAAGCAAAAUAAAACAAAACCUCAAAACCUCAAACAUCAGAAUUUUUCUGAUUGUUAAUUUAAUGUCUGUUAUUUGAAAAUCUGUGGAUAUUUGGAAACCU